GCUUCAAACGUUUAUUGGUGUCUCUAAAUUACCCCUAUAGGUGACAAUGCGGCCCUUCAACAUACUGGUGACCUGUUCGGGGUGCACUCCACCUUUGCCCAACGGUUUGCUCCAGCAGCCCCACAUACUCUGAAAGGGAAAUGAUGGAUGGAUGGAGAUAAAAACAAAACUGGAUCAUCUUUACUAUUAGGUGCUUUAAUGCCACAAAGUUCUAGAAGUGUUCUUUACUUUUCAGGAUAAUCAGAACUGUUCCUCUGACUCUUUGUGGCGGUUUUGUUAUGAUUACUGUCUUGUCUUAACGCACAUCAACUGCCAAGAGAUUCUUGAUUUUUGUGUUGUUUUAAAUUAUUCCUCCGUGGCCCCCGCUCUGAAAAGUUGUCAAACUUGUUCAGAAAUCCUUCCCAUUUUUCCAAAUAGACAGUUGUCCCCUGCAGCCCCUGGAGGAGCAGUGAGCUGCAAACACAGCAACGCCUGGGAACCAGUUGGUAGUCUAACCACCCAGGCCAACCCCUUUAUGCUGAAGCAGGAAGGCAUUGAGUCCCCUUUUGGGAUGACUCAGGUGUGGAUUUCGCAGUGACAUGGGGGACACUCUACCACAAGAACUGUGAUAGGCUGUUGCCUUCGCGUGACUUGACCAAGCAGAUUUAGGAUUGUCCAGAAGACCGAGACCCUUCCCUCAGACCGGCAGCUCCGCUUCUCACGCAACCUGCAAGCAGCAGAGGUGCAGCGCCACGGCGCGCACACAAGGAGUCCCUGAGGAGCCAACUCCGUCCCGGAGGAG